rnacentral:tRNA from 3 species
UUAAUUGAAGCCAAAAAGAGGCUUAUCACUGUUAAUGAUAGAACUGAAAAAAUUUUCCAAUUAAA